GGCGAGGUAGCGUAAUUGGAAAAGCGCCGCCUUUUCAGGGCGGAGUUAUAAGUUCGAACCUUAUCCUCGCCA
rnacentral:tRNA from 2 species